rnacentral:ncRNA from 2 species
GUAAAAAAUUUAUAAGAAUAUGAUGUUGGUUCAGAUUAAGCGCUAAAUAAGGACAUGACACAUGCGAAUCAUACGUUUAUUAUUGAUAAGAUAAUAAAUAUGUGGUGUAAACGUGAGUAAUUUUAUUAGGAAUUAAUGAACUAUAGAAUAAGCUAAAUACUUAAUAUAUUAUUAUAUAAAAAUAAUUUAUAUAAUAAAAAGGAUAUAUAUAUAAUAUAUAUUUAUCUAUAGUCAAGCCAAUAAUGGUUUAGGUAGUAGGUUUAUUAAGAGUUAAACCUAGCCAACGAUCCAUAAUCGAUAAUGAAAGUUAGAACGAUCACGUUGACUCUGAAAUAUAGUCAAUAUCUAUAAGAUACAGCAGUGAGGAAUAUUGGACAAUGAUCGAAAGAUUGAUCCAGUUACUUAUUAGGAUGAUAUAUAAAAAUAUUUUAUUUUAUUUAGUUCCGGGGCCCGGCCACGGGAGCCGGAACCCCGAAAGGAGAAAUAUUUAAUAUUUAUAAUAAUAAUAAUAAUAAUAUAUAUAUAUAAAUUGAUUAAAAAUAAAAUCCAUAAAUAAUUAAAAUAAUGAUAUUAAUUACCAUAUAUAUUUUAUAUGGAUAUAUAUAUUAAUAAUAAUAUUAAUUUAUUAUUAUUAAUAAUAUAUUUUAAUAGUCCUGACUAAUAUUUGUGCCAGCAGUCGCGGUAACACAAAGAGGGCGAGCGUUAAUCAUAAUGGUUUAAAGGAUCCGUAGAAUGAAUUAUAUAUUAUAAUUUAGAGUUAAUAAAAUUAAUUAAAGAAUUAUAAUAGUAAAGAUGAAAUAAUAAUAAUAAUUAUAAGACUAAUAUAUGUGAAAAUAUUAAUUAAAUAUUAACUGACAUUGAGGGAUUAAAACUAGAGUAGCGAAACGGAUUCGAUACCCGUGUAGUUCUAGUAGUAAACUAUGAAUACAAUUAUUUAUAAUAUAUAUUAUAUAUAAAUAAUAAAUGAAAAUGAAAGUAUUCCACCUGAAGAGUACGUUAGCAAUAAUGAAACUCAAAACAAUAGACGGUUACAGACUUAAGCAGUGGAGCAUGUUAUUUAAUUCGAUAAUCCACGACUAACCUUACCAUAUUUUGAAUAUUAUAAUAAUUAUUAUAAUUAUUAUAUUACAGGCGUUACAUUGUUGUCUUUAGUUCGUGCUGCAAAGUUUUAGAUUAAGUUCAUAAACGAACAAAACUCCAUAUAUAUAAUUUUAAUUAUAUAUAAUUUUAUAUUAUUUAUUAAUAUAAAGAAAGGAAUUAAGACAAAUCAUAAUGAUCCUUAUAAUAUGGGUAAUAGACGUGCUAUAAUAAAAUGAUAAUAAAAUUAUAUAAAAUAUAUUUAAUUAUAUUUAAUUAAUAAUAUAAAACAUUUUAAUUUUUAAUAUAUUUUUUUAUUAUAUAUUAAUAUGAAUUAUAAUCUGAAAUUCGAUUAUAUGAAAAAAGAAUUGCUAGUAAUACGUAAAUUAGUAUGUUACGGUGAAUAUUCUAACUGUUUCGCACUAAUCACUCAUCACGCGUUGAAACAUAUUAUUAUCUUAUUAUUUAUAUAAUAUUUUUUAAUAAAUAUUAAUAAUUAUUAAUUUAUAUUUAUUUAUAUCAGAAAUAAUAUGAAUUAAUGCGAAGUUGAAAUACAGUUACCGUAGGGGAACCUGCGGUGGGCUUAUAAAUAUCUUAAAUAUUCUUACA